GAUGGAGUGAUGGAGUGCAGGGGCGUGACCUCAGCUCACUGCAACCUUCACCUCCCAGGUUCAAGUGAUUCUCCUGCCUCUGCCUCCCGAAUAGCUGGGAUUACAGGUAUGCACUACUACACUGGGCUAAGUUUUGUAUUUUCAGUAGAGAUGGGGUUUCACCACUUGGCCAGGCUGGUCUCGAACUUCUGACCUCAAGCAAUCCUCCCGCCUUAGGCUCCCAAAGUGGUGGGAUUACAGGCCUGAACCACAGGGCCCAGCCUUGGCUUGUGGUUCUUUUACUAAAUAUGGAAUAGCGAUAAAGCUUAUGUAUCAUAUUUGUAAAAGAAAGCUAGGCACAUGAAGCAGAAUUAAUUCAUGAGGGAAAAUAUUUAUUUUACUCUCAAGUCUCCCGAAAGUUAUUGUAUUCAUUUAAACUCAAUUUCUAAUUUUUUUAGUUACCCAAAUACUAUUGCAUUAAAUGCAUUAAAGAGAGCAUUGUACCUAGCAGAUAUGUGAGAAACAGUUUGACUUUUUAACCACUAAAAAAUGUCCAAAUAUCAGAAUUUAUUUUAUUUUAAAUUUCAAAAAAAUCCUUAUUUUAUAUGAUAAAAAUCAAGUUGAUUUGUAAGUCAUAUAUAUCAGCUUAUUAUCAAGAACUAUUGCUAUGUAAAAGAACUUAGGACUGUGUAAUUAGAACUAUGUAAUAGAAAUAUUUACAGAAGACUAUAUCUGCCAACAUGAGAUACUCUACCACCAUAACUUAUAUCAAUGACUCUUGUUCUAUCAUCGUGUGCAUUAUAAAUAGUGCAAAAUUUCAAGAAAUUUCCAUUUUGAGAUAUAAGAAAUCAAUAUGCUGGGAAAACUAAUAUCAAACUCUGAAGUAGAUAUAUUUCAUUUUAUAUAUAUUUUAAAUGACCUUUAACUAAAGGUUAAAUUGGAUUGACACACUGAAGAUAAAUUUUUUUAUUAUUAUCAUCAUUAAAUUAUUAUUUUGUGACUAUUACUAUUCAACUAACACUACAUCUGAUAAUAUAAUGAUAAACACAUUCCUUUUUUAUAUUAACUAGCAUUUUUUUCGAGUUUCUUAAAGCUUUGUUUGCAACUCUGGAUGAUUUAUGUGGGACAUGAUAAAACCAAUCUCCACACAGGCUAAUUUGAGACCUGGCAUCAUUGUCUCUCUCUGAACAAUCUGGAAGCUUUUUUAUGGUAGUGAAUUGCUCAUUUGGGGUGCGAGGAUUGAAGCAGGCAAGUGUCUGGGUCAUUAUGUGCUCAGCCAUGUCUUACAUAGGUGUUUGGAUUUGUAUAGCACUGGUUAAUCUGUAAUGUGUUUUAAUUUAGAGACAUAAAUUCUGGCCAGAAUUCUAUGCUUUAAUUAAAUAGUGUCAAGGGAUUGAUCGCAGCAUAUUGAUCCAUAACUGAACAUUUUAUCCAUGAAGUCACAGGUCCAGUGAGUCAUCAUUGCCUAGAAUACCCUACUUCAAACAAUGAAACUCACUUUCAAUCUAUCAUCAUCUUUCACUCUUCAGUGAAACCCCAUGUAGCUUCCAGAUGUGGUUUCAGGAUUUCUCUAUAUUGUUGGAGAGCAUUUAGGGCUCAAGAGAAAUCAUUGCUGCUUUAGCGCCUGGAGAAGAGCUACAGCUCAGGUGUUCAAUAGAAGAGAUGCACACAGGCAUCUAUGUUGUCAGCAAGCUAGCACUAUCAAAGCAUCUGGAGACAACAAUAGGAGUCAAGGAUACCAUCUCUAGCACAGAUCCCCGAACAAGAACCUGAGACCUGCCGAACAGCAGGUGCCAAAGAUGCUGCUGUAACACCACAGCCCUCCCAUCUUCCAUCCUCCACUGGCGCUGAGUGGCAGUCCCAUGUGACAGGAAGUGGAGGCAGAGCUGGGCCAGCCCAGGAGCCACGUGCUGGAGCCAGAUACUCUGUUUUUCUACAAAUGGAAAGUUUGUGGCAUCCUUGACUCAAGCAAAUUUUUCAGCACCAUUUUUCAAGAGCGUGUGCUCACUUCACCUCUCUGUAUCGUGUUUUGAUGCUUGUCCUGGAAACCAACCAUGAGCUGUGAUGAAAUCCAGGCAACUGAGUUGUGUUUCAGCCCAAAGCAGCAAAUGGAAUCCAGCUUCAGGACCAUCAUCUGACAUAGGGGAAGAAGACUUACAUAGAAGGCCUAACCAGCACCCAAGAUCAUGUACAUGGAUGGAGCUGGAAGCCAUUAUCCUCAGCAAACUAACACAGGAACAGAAAGUCAAACACUGCAUGUUCUCACUU
rnacentral:lncRNA from 10 species